rnacentral:rRNA from 1 species
GAUGAACGCUGGCGGCGUGCUUAACACAUGCAAGUCGAACGGUGAACGAGGGAGCUUGCUCCCUCCGGAUCAGUGGCGAACGGGUGAGUAACACGUGAGCAAUCUGCCCUGGACUCUGGGAUAAGCGUUGGAAACGACGUCUAAUACCGGAUACGAGGCGUGGGGGCAUCCCCAACGCCUGGAAUGAACUUCGGUCCAGGAUGAGCUCGCGGCCUAUCAGCUAGUUGGUGAGGUAACGGCUCACCAAGGCGACGACGGGUAGCCGGCCUGAGAGGGUGACCGGCCGCACUGGGACUGAGACACGGCCCAGACUCCUACGGGAGGCAGCAGUGGGGAAUAUUGCACAAUGGGCGCAAGCCUGAUGCAGCAACGCCGCGUGAGGGACGACGGCCUUCGGGUUGUAAACCUCUUUUAGUAGGGAAGAAGCGAAAGUGACGGUACCUGCAGAAAAAGCACCGGCUAACUACGUGCCAGCAGCCGCGGUAACAC